rnacentral:lncRNA from 10 species
AAAAAAAGCCAAAAACAAAUGGUCCUAUUUUUUAAAUUUUCUUUCUUGGUUUAUCCUUAAUGUCAGGCCUCUGAGCCCAAGCUAAGCCAUCAUGUCCCCUGUGACCUGCACAUACACAUCCAGAUGUCUGGUUCCUGCCUUAACUGAUGAUAUUCCACCACAAAAGAAGUGAAAAUGGCCUGUUCCUGCCUUAACUGAUGACAUUGUCUUGUGAAAUUCCUUCUCCUGGCUCAUCUGGCUCAAAAGCUCCCCUACUGAGCACCUUGGGACCCCCACUCUGCCCACCAGAGAACAACCCCCCUUUGACUGUAAUUUUCCUUUAUCUACCCAAAUCCUAUAAAACGGCCCCACCCGUAUCUCCCUUCUCUGACUCUCUUUUCGGACUCAGCCCACCUGCACCCAGGUGAAAUAAACAGCCUUGUUGCUCACACAAAGCCUGUUUGGUGGUCUCUUCACACAGACACACAUGAAAUUUGGUGCCAUGACUCGGAUUGGGGGACCUCCCUUGGAAGAUCAAUCCCCUGUCCUCCUGUUUUUUGCUCCAUGAGAAAGAUGCACCUAUGACCUCAGGUCCUCAGACUGACCGGCCCAAGAAACACCUCACCAAUUGCAAAUCUGAUUCAAGAGAAUCAAAAUAUACUGCAUGAAAACAACCAAUUAAACAAAGAAGUUGUGAGAACACUGUAUUCCAAGAAAGAACUACUAACUGUAAUGGAGUCUGAUUUCAAGGUACAUGGGUGUGGUGAUAGUUACAAAGCUAUGCAGAUUUACAGAUACAUGGUUAGAGAGAACCUUGAAGGAGAAAGUACCAAGAGUCUGGGUGAACCCGAGAAAAAUGGAAAAAUCUCAUUAAAGAAUAGUGGCAUGGUGAUGUUUUUUUUAUUGUGUGGGUCAAGGAAAUAUUUGGAUUAACCAUGCUAUUAUGAUUAUCUUCACGAGUAAGCAAUUUGCUGGAUAUAACAGGCAAAAUCUGAACUAUGUAAAGAUGCCCUUUGUACCUAUAACCAUAUUCCUCUUUCAGCAGGAGAUGAAGAAAAGCAAUAACAUAACAAAACUGAGUGAUGAAAUGCUGCUCCUUUUUACUUUGGAUAUUGAGAACUAUGAAACAAAUUGAAGAGAGGGGGCUAUAAACGUGAAAAGAAAUUUUGAUAAAACUGGAUAUAUUCUCUGUUGUAUUUCUAAGAAGUUGGAGCCAAUGCCAGAAGAGAAAUGUGAAAAGCUCUUCAAAGAAUGAGAAAAAUAAA